UUUUUAAAACUGAAAUUGAUUAUUCCUUUGUAUAAAAUUAUCUAAAUUAUAUAUAUAUAUACACCAAAGACAUAAUAGAAAAUUAUUGGUUCUGUUACUAUCAUUUCCUGUAUUUAUUCAAAUUUUUAUUGUAUUUUAUUUUAUUAUAUCGUGCACAUAUACAUUUUUCUUAAUAGUAUAAGAUAAGUAUGAUUGUUUUUUUUAAAUGGAUUUUUUUUUAAAGUUGUAUUUAAAAAAACUAUUUUUUUUUAAAUAUAACAAGUUUUUCAUAUUUUUUUUAAUUCAAAAUUUAAUUUUGAUAUUCUGUAACAUAAUUGAAGAUUAAAUUUUAGUCGAAAUUGCAACUUUUUAAAAUAAUUAUAUCUCAAAAUUAAUUUUUAUGAAAAAAAAUUAUUUAAAAUAGCUUCAAAAUUAAAUGAUUUUUUAAAAUUUUAAAAUUUAAAUUUAUUUUUGAUAAAAUAAUAUUUUUAAAAUGAUCAUUAAUAUAAAAUCUUAAUUUAAAACUUUUAUAAAAAAAUAUAUAUUAUAAACACAAAAUUAUAUUACAUUAUAAAAAUUAUUUAUAAAAAAAACAAAAAAAAAAACUAGCCCAGACAACCUAUAUUCUAAAGUAAGUUUUAUAAAAGUGGAUUGUGAUUUAAAGAUCAUAACUAGUACAUGAUUUUUAUAUGACCAUAUAUAGUAAAAUGUACUUUAUCAAGCUUGCUUACUUGCACUUUCAAAACACUCCUUAGUGGGGUAAGCAAGCUAACCUCACUCUCCCUUUCUUUGCUAUCAUAAUUAAUCCACAAGCUGUGUCUUUGCUUCUUGGCAAUGUCAUCCAUACUUGCUCCCUCACGCCACGUUUUUGCUUUUCCGCUACACUUUCUUCAAGACCCCUUCGGUUCAUAUCCAGCCAAUAUGCCAAAUAAUGUUUUACUUAUUUUCCUUUAUCUUCUUUGUUUUAUAUAUUAUUCUUUCAGAGUAGAAAAAGACCACUAAUGCCGUGGAAGUAAAAGCAAAGCAUAAUAAUACCCAUUUUGUUUAUUAUAAUUUAUAUACAUAAUCUUUAAAUAUCUCGUAAAAAGAUAACAAUAAUAACUCAUUAAAAAUAUAUAUGCUCUAUUUGAUAAGAUGAGCUUAAUUUUUGAGUUUAUAACAACUACUUUAUAAUUUAUAUAUAAAAAUAGCCAUGUUUAAUGGGAUUUUUUUUUCACAAGAAUUUAUGGUAUUUUAUAUUACUAGUACAUUGUAUGUUUUAAUAAAAUAUUUUAAGAAACUAUUGAUUUAUAUAUACUAGCUUACUAUUAUUUUUCUCAAUUUCACUAUUUAUCAUAAUAACUGAAAACUGAUAAAUAUGUAAUUCUUUGUGCCAUGUAUAAGUCUGUGACAUAAUCAAAAUAGUGUGCGUUCGAAAGAGUCUAACAAAGUUUGUAUUAAUUGUAUUCGACAGAAAAUCGAAUACAACAUAUGUUGAAAUUUAUGUUACUUAGUUACUUUGAGAAUUACUUAGUGUACAAAUAAUCUCAUCUAUAAAUAAGGAAGUACCAUACUAUUGUAAGUAGUUGUUGAAUAAGAGAAAUUUAGUGAGAAUAAAUGUAGAGAAAAACUAUGCAGAAUUUGAUCCAUCUUCUUCCCUUUCUCUCAAAACCAUAAUUUCUCUUUUUCCCCCCUAAUUCACUUUCACGAUUUUCUUUUCUUCUCAAAUCAUUGUGCGACGGAAUCAUCUUGCAAUCAAGUUGUGAUUGAAUCACUCGAGUAAAGAGUGACGAAAGAGAAGAACGGUCAAUCAGAAAGAUUGAUUCUCGUUAAAUCAAUAUUGAUUCAAAUUAUCUUCAAGAUUGAGGUCAAUUCCAACAUCUGAUAUCAAGAGCAUUAGCUGUGAUUCUUUGAGGCAUGGCGAAAUGAAUUCUCAUCCGAAUGAACAUUUUUCAGUGAAUCUUCAAAUCUUGAAUGACAAGAAUUAUGAAAAUUAGUGUAAGCAAAUGAAGGUUGUUUUCUGUUAUCAAGAUCUUUGGGAUCUUGUGAAGAAUGAAGUAACACCCGUUGGAGAGAAUGCUACGGAUGAACAAAAGGUUGCACACAAAGAUUUGAAGAAGAAAGAUUAUAAAGCUACCUUUAUAAUCCAUUAAUGCGUUGAUCUAGACAACUUUGAGAAAGUUGGUGAUGUAGACUUAGCAAAGGAAGCAUGACACAUCUUGGAAGAAUGGUUUAGAGGUCUUAAGAAGGUGAAAGAGGUGAGGUUAUAAACUCAUAAAAGAACAUAUGAAUUCUUCAUAUGGAAGAAAGUGAAAGCAUAAUUAAUUUCUUCACUAGGGUAACGAGACUGGUGAAUCAAAUCAAGAUGUAUGGAGAAGUGUUGAUAUCAAGAUCAGUAGUUAGAAAGAUCUUGAGGUCAUUGACUAAAAAAUUUGAUUAUGUGGCAGUAGGCAUAGAAGAAGGGAAGGAUUUUCCAAGCAUAAAAAAAUAAGAGUUUCAAGGGACGCUUAAAUCUCAUGAACAAAGAAUGGUUGUAAGAUCUACAACCAAAACAAAGAGUGAUGUAGCUCUACAGGCGCAUUCAACAAAAUAAAAGUAAGAUAAAGGAAGAUGAAGUGGUAACAAAGUUAGAUGAUGUUACAAUAAUUUAACUAGUAGAGAAAACCAACAAGAAGGUAGUUCAUCAAAUCAAAGACAAUCUUCAAACCAAAGCAAUCAUAAAGGUGGGGUUGUAGGUAGAGGAAUAGGCCAUGGAAGAAAACCUGAUAAAGCCAUAUUCAAUGUUACAACUAUCAAAAGUAUGAACAUUAUGCAAGUUAAUGUCGAGGAGACAAGAAAGAAAAUCAAGAAAGUGAUGCAAAACUUAUAGCAUACAAAUAAAGAGAGAUGUUGUUGAUGGUCACAAUGAAAGACUAAGAGAUUCAAUGACUAAUGAUACUUAGACUCAGGCUGCUCAUCACACAUGACUGAAAGAAAAUAUUUAUUUGUCAACAUGAGUCCCUUGAUGAAGAAUGAGGUGAAACCAUCAAAUGACAAUACUAUGUCUGCUGAAGGUAUUGAUGAUGUUCUGGUCAUGAAGAAAUAUGGCAAGAGGUCGGUAAUUUCUGAUGUAUUGUGCAUACCAGACAUGAAAAGUAAUUCACUCAGCAUAUGCCAAUUGAUCGAGAAGAAUUACAAAGUGUUGAUUGAAGAUAAGACGACGAGACUUCUCGAUUUAGGUGGUAGGUUAAUCUUAAAGGCACCUAUGUCUUAGAACAGGACCUUCAAGAUUGAACUCAAUGUGAUUGAGCACAAGUGUAUGUCAACUACAGAUAGAAGAGAUGAAUGUCUAUGACACUACAGACUUGGCUAUCUCAACUUUAAAGACAUCAUAAAUCUAAAGAGAAGAAACAAGGUUUCAGGAUUACCAGAAACCGAUAUUCCAAAUGAAGUGUGUGAAAAAUGUGUUAAGCAAAGCAAACCAGUAUUAGCUUAAACAAAGAUGCAGGAAACAAGUCGAAGGAAAUUCUUAAAGUCAUAUAUUCAGAUGUGUGCGGUCUUAUCUAGGUAGAUUUAAUUGUAGGUAACAAAUACUUUGACAUAUUCAUAGAUGAUUUCAGUCGAAAACUAUGGACAUACCUAAUAAAGAAGAAAGGUGAUGUGCUUGAAGUGUUCACGAAGUUUAAAUCUAUGGUGAAGAGACAAAGCGGUCGGAAGCUCAAGACUCUGAGGACUGAUGGUGGCGAAGAAUAUGUAUCAAAAUAUUUCAAUGCAUUGUAUGAGAAAGAAGGGAUUGUGCAUAAGGCGGUGUCACCCUAUACUCCACAGCAAAACAAAAUUGUUGAGAGAAAGAAUAGAACCAUCAUGAAUAUGAUGAGGAGUAUGCUACCAAAUGCGUUAUGAGGUAAGGUUGUGUCGACUGCAACAUACAUCCUGAAUAGAUGUUUGACUAAUAAGUUAGAAGGAAUCACAUCAGAAGAAUGUUGGUUUGGUCUCAAGCUUAGCUUAAGUCAUAUGAAGGUGUUUGGAUCUAUAGCACAUAGGCAUGUGCCUGAUCAAUUGAGAAGGAAGCUUGAUGACAAGUCUAGCCAUAUGAUCCUUAUAGGAUUUCAUUCGACUGAUGGAUACAAAAUGUUUGAUACAUUGAACAAGAAAGUUGUGAUCAACAGAGACAUGAUCAUGGAUGAGUUGAAGGAGUGGGAUUGGAAAGAUAAUGUCAAGAAAGAUUCAGUGAGAAUUUUAUGUGAUGAAUCAACUAGUGAAGCUAACAGAGAAGUUAGACAAGAAUUAGUCAGAGUUCAAGCAGGCACAAACAGACCUCAAAAAAUAAGAAAAAUGCAUGCAAGGUUGCAAGAAUGUGUGAUUACAUCAUAUGAUGUGGUCGAUGAUGAAGGUGAACUUGUCCAAUAUGCUUUCUAUGUAGAUAUUGAGCCAAUCAAUGUAACCGAGGCAUUGAAGGACUCUAAGUUGAUGCAAGCCAUGAUGGAGGAACUGAAGUCCAUAGAAGUGAACAAAAACUGGCCACCUAUCGAAUUUCCACAAGGAAAUAAGGCAAUUGAUGUGAAGUGGGUAUAAAAAGUGAAUCUGAAUCUGAAAGGAGAAGUAACUAGACAAAAAGUAAGACUAGUAGCUAAAGAAUUUAUUCAGAGAGAAGGAAUCGACUUUGACGAAGUCUUUGUGCUAGUUGCUUGGAUCAAAACAAUCAGGUUGAUUAUUGGCCACGCAAACAUAAACAACUGGUAUAUGUGUCUGAUGGAUGUGAAAUGUGAAUUCCUGAAUAACCCUCUAGAUGAUGAGAUUUAUGUAGCACAAUCGGUUGGGUUUAUUAAGCAAAUCUAAGAAAGAAAGGUAUAUAGGUUGCAUAAAGCCCCAUAUAGACUUAAGAAAGCUCCAAGAUCUUGGAAUAAUAAGAUAGAUACUUUCCUAAGGGAUUAGGAUUUUUGAAGUGCACAACUGAACAUAGAGUAUAUGUCAGAAGAAGCAAGAGUUAACUGCUUAUACUAUGUCUCUAUGCCGAUGACCUGUUGAUAGCAAGUAGUUGCAAAAAGAAUAUCAAAGACUUUAAAGGUGAUCUGAGUAAGGAGUUCAAAAUGUCUGAUCUAGGAAACAUUUCAUAUUUCCUUGGUAUCGAAUUAAACAAGAGUAUUAGAGGCCUGAUGAUGAAUCAAAGAAGAUAUGAAAGUGAAAUACUCAAAAGAUUUGAGAUGGAAGACUGCGAUGUAACUUCAACACCUACUAAACCAAGACUGCUACUAUCUAAUGAGUCAGAUGAAGACGACGUCGAUCUAACUCAAUAUAGAAGACUCAUUGGAUCAUUAAGAUACAUUUGUCACACAAGUCCUAAUCUAGUAUACAAUGUAGGUGUAGUGAGUAGAUUCACGCAUAAGCUAAAUGCAUCCCACCUUGCAGCCACAAAGAGGAUACUAAGGUAUCUCAAAGGAACUUUUGACUAUGAUAUUUUGUUUCCUGCAACAGAUGAAGGAAAAUAAUACAAACUAGUGGGAUACACCGACUCAAGUUGGUGUGGUGAUGUUAAGGAUAGAAAAUACACAGUUGGGUAUGUGUUUAUGCUAGGUGGUGCACCAGUUUCUUGGAGCUCAAGAAAAGAACCAAUAGUAGUGUUGUCAUCAUGUGAGGCUGAAUACAUAGUUACCUUCCUUUGUGCAUGUCAAGCAACGUGGAUGAUGAACCUGAUCGAGGAGAUUUCAAGAGAAGACCAUGGAGCAAUGAUCAUGAAGAUCGAUAAUAUGCCUGCUACCAACUUGUCCAAAAACCCUAUAACACAUUGAAGAAGCAAACACAUCAACACGAGGUUCCAUUAUCUUCGAGAGCAAGUAGCAAAUGAGAAACUGAACUUGGAACACUGUAGAGCUGAGAAUCAGAUUGCAGACAUCAUGAUAAAGGUUGUGUAGGUCAAAUUGUUCAAGAGAUUGAGAACUAUGAUGAAUGUAGAUAGCUUAAACACAAUGAAUUAGGUGGUGUGUCAAACAUGCAAUUCUUUGUGUCAAGCAUAAGUCUGUGUUUGACACAGUUGAAGUAGUAUGCGUUCAACAGAUUCGAACAGAGUCUGCAUUAACUGCAUUCGGUAGAAAGUUGAAUACAACUUGUUAAAAUUUAUGUUAGUUAGUUACUUUGAGAAUUACUUUGUGUGCAAGUAAUUUCAUCUACAAAUAGGGAGGUACCAUACUAUUGUAAGUAGUUGUUGAAUAAGAGAAAUUCAGUGAGAGUAAGCGCAGAGAGAAACUCUGCAGAAUUUGAUCCAUCUUCUUCCCCUUCCUUUCAAAACCCUAUUUUUUACUUUCUUCCCCAAUUCACUUUCAUGAAUUUCUUUUCUUCUCAAAUCAUUAUGCGGUGGAAACAUCUUGCAACAAAGAUGUGGUUGAAUCACUAGAGUAAAUAGUGAAGAAUGAGAAGAACGAUCAAUCCUAAAAAUUUGAUUCUCGUUAAAUCAAAAUUGAUUCGGAUUAUCUUCAAGAUUGAGAUUAAUUCCAACAAAGACAACAUAAAUAUUUAUUAAGAAUAAAUUUACACGUCAUUUUAUAAUUAUUAACUAAUUAAAUUAUUAAUUUUAUAAAAUAUUACACAUUUUACGAUCUAUUUCUACGGAUUAGUUUAUUAGUUUAUAGAAUGCAUUUGAGCAAAUAUAAAUUUAAUCUUUAAAUAUAAGUAAAAUUUCCAUUUAAAAUUUUUAAAUGAUUAAUAAAAAUUCAAAUAUGUAAUUGAUUUAUAUUUAAAAAAUGUUUUUUUAUUCCUAUAGAUUUCUUUCUAUUAAGUUUUGAUUUUUAAAAAAAUAUAUUUUAUUUUAUUUUUUAUCCUUAUUUUUCUUUUAUAGUAUCUACAUAAUUGAGUUAUAUUGGAAUCAGUCUCUCUAAUAUAUAAUUUUAACUCUUGUAUUACUAAUAUUAAAAAGUUUAAAUAUUAUAAAAAUAAAUUAUAAUAUAAAUUAAUAUUUUUGUUAAAUUUUAAUUCACACAUGUUUUUUUAUUUUCUAUUCUUAUUUUUUAUAAUAUUAUAUUGGAACCAUUUUCAUAUAUAUAUAUAUAUAUAUAUAUAUAUAUAUAUAUAUAUAUAUAUAUACUAUAUAUAUAUAUAUAUAUUAUAUAUAUAUAUAUAUAUAUAUAUAUAUAUAUAUAUAUAUAUAUAUAUAUAUAUAUAUAUAAUAUAUAUAUAUAUAUAUAUAUAUAUAUAUAUAUAUAUAUAUUAUAUUAUAUAUAUAUAUAUAUAAUAUAUAUAUUAUAUAUAUAUAAUAUAAUAUAUAUAUAUAUAUAUAUAUAUAUGGCAAAUUUUCACAUAUUAAAAUAGAUAAUGAAAUGUUGGAAGGGUCAUCCAUGCAAUGAAAUGUAAUACACAAUUGUAAAAUCAUAAAAUAAGAUGGCUUAAAGUAACUACAACUAAUUUUGCCAUAACUAAAAAAAAACAUUUGAAUAUGUCAAAAUCAAACAAAAAAAAUUUAAAAACUAAAUCCAAAAAAAAAAUAUUUAUACCAAUCAAUUACAUAAAUAUUGAAUUUAUUCAAAAAAAGAACUGAAUUAACACAACAAACAAAAAACGGAUAUGAGUUGGAUUAUAAGAGAUUAUGAAGCUUACGUCAUCGGGAGAAUGAAUGUGUUGUGUCGCGUGCUAAACGGUUAUAACGAAGAACGCAUUCGCCUUAUACUUAUCACGCACGUAACCAUGUCAGUUACAUCACAUUUUCAAUCAACCCUCUUCCUUCAUCAAAUCAACGCCUCUCCUUCGUUACAAACCUCGUUACCUCAAAUCAACGGUUAUAAAUAAACGGACCCACAAUACGAGAGUACUAGUCUAGCUGGCCCCACUAAAUUGCCAACCCCAACCAGUUAUUAGUAGUUUUCUUUGGCUUGUUAGAAUUGAGGGUUUAAAUUCUCGCAUUCAUCACAUUUUCUCUUCAAUUUUCCAUUCUCAUUUCGAUUCCUCUUCCACAUUCCAAUCUCGGUAACCUCUUUUUUCUUCAUCAUCGCUUCAAUCGUUAUUCAUAUUAAUGCAUGCAUUGCUCAAUUGUUUAUCUAUUUUUCCUUUAAUUUAAUGCAUUUGUAGGUUUUAAUGCAUGUGAGGGUGGGAUCGGGGAAUGAAUGGGGUUUAUGAUAUUUAUAAGAUUUUGAUUGCUUGAUAAAUCGCUUAUUGACAUUAUGUCUCAUUUAUCACCUGUCACAUGAUAAUUUAAGAUUGUGCAUGGUUUAGGUUUCUUAUUUUAUUGAUUUGUAAUUUAAUCAUGAUUUUGAAAUUUUGUUUUAGGUUGAAUUUUGGAAUUUGGAAGAAUUGGUGAAAAUGGGAAACAAGUUGAAUGUGAUGGCGUUGUGUUUGUGUGUGUGGACCCUAUUUUUUUGUUUUGUUUCUUGUGAGGCAAAUGAAGGGUUGCGUAGGAUUGGUUUGAAAAAGGUCAAAUUGGAACCCAAGAAUUUCUUGGGGUUGAAAGGUGGUGAAGCUUCAUUGUCUAAAAACAUCCUUGAAGGAACUGAGGAAUUCGAUGUUGUUGUGUUGAAGAAUUAUUU
rnacentral:lncRNA from 1 species